UACGGGGGGUGCAAGCGUUGUCCGGAAUUAUUGGGCGUAAAGAGCUCGUAGGCGGUUUGUCGCGUCUGCUGUGAAAACCCGAGGCUCAACCUCGGGCCUGCAGUGGGUACGGGCAGACUAGAGUGCGGUAGGGGAGAUUGGAAUUCCUGGUGUAGCGGUGGAAUGCGCAGAUAUCAGGAGGAACACCGAUGGCGAAGGCAGGUCUCUGGGCAUUAACUGACGCUGAGGAGCGAAAGCAUGGGGAGCGAACAGG
rnacentral:rRNA from 1 species